AACGAACGCUGGCGGCAGGCCUAACACAUGCAAGUCGAGCGCCCGCAAGGGAGCGGCGGACGGGUGAGUAACGCGUGGGAACGUACCCUUUGCUUCGGAAUAGCCUCGGGAAACUGGGGGUAAUACCGAAUGUGCCCUUUGGGGGAAAGAUUUAUCGGCAAAGGAUCGGCCCGCGUUGGAUUAGGUAGUUGGUGGGGUAAGUGGCCUACCAAGCCGACGAUCCAUAGCUGGUUUGAGAGGAUGAUCAGCCACACUGGGACUGAGACACGGCCCAGACUCCUACGGGAGGCAGCAGUGGGGAAUCUUAGACAAUGGGCGCAAGCCUGAUCUAGCCAUGCCGCGUGAGCGAUGAAGGCCUUAGGGUUGUAAAGCUCUUUCGUGGGGGAAGAUAAUGACUGUACCCCAAGAAGAAGCCCCGGCUAACUCCGUG
rnacentral:rRNA from 1 species